UGGGGAAUAUUGGACAAUGGGCGCAAGCCUGAUCCAGCCAUGCCACGUGUGUGAAGAAGGCCUUUUGGUUGUAAAGCACUUUAAGCGAGGAGGAGGCUACUUGGAUUAAUACUCUAGGAUAGUGGACGUUACUCGCAGAAUAAGCACCGGCUAACUCUGUGCCAGCAGCCGCGGUAAUACAGAGGGUGCGAGCGUUAAUCGGAUUUACUGGGCGUAAAGCGUGCGUAGGCGGCUUCUUAAGUCGGAUGUGAAAUCCCUGAGCUUAACUUAGGAAUUGCAUUCGAUACUGGGAAGCUAGAGUAUGGGAGAGGAUGGUAGAAUUCCAGGUGUAGCGGUGAAAUGCGUAGAGAUCUGGAGGAAUACCGAUGGCGAAGGCAGCCAUCUGGCCUAAUACUGACGCUGAGGUACGAAAGCAUGGGGAGCAAACAGG
rnacentral:rRNA from 2 species